rnacentral:misc_RNA from 1 species
AACGCACAUUGCGCCCCUUGGUAUUCCAUGGGGCAUGCCUGUUCGAGCGUCAUCUACACCCUCAAGCUCUGCUUGGUGUUGGGCGUCUGUCCCGCCUUCGUGCGCGGACUCGCCCCAAAUUCAUUGGCAGCGGUCUUUGCCUCCUCUCGCGCAGCACAAUUGCGUUGUAAGGGGGCGUGGCCCGCAUCCACGAAGCAACAUUACCGUCUUUGACCUCGGAUCAGGUAGGGAUACCCGCUGAACUUAA